CUUUGGACCACCCGUGAAAGGGUUUUAUUAAUCUAAUAAUCUGGGAAGUAGAAAAUUACCCUUUUAAAAAAGAUCGUGUUGUGAUAGCUAAUCUAAAGUACGACAACUUUCCCUCAAAGUAUAAUGAUUUCUUUUUGAGGUCUUCUUCCCCGAUCAACAACACGUUUGUGUGACCUGUCAAACCUAAACCAUCAUGACAUCAAAAGUUACUUUCAAGAUCACCCUGACUUCAGAUCCCAAACUUCCAUACAAAGUAUGAUCAAACAAAAUUAGACAUAGAGUCCUGAACCUUGAGUUGAAGAUUCAUUAAGAAGAGUGCCUGAAAAAGACCACACAUACUAGGUCAUGAAGAUUUGCCCUUCUUACCAGACAAAAGACCUGCAGUAGCUUGAAACAACAUAAUGAAUAGAUUGGCAGUUUAGACAUGUACACUACAUAAUUUUGUGGUAUUUUUAUGAUGCAGAGGAAGUUCUGAAUAAUGUUUAAAUAAGAAUUAUUGCACAAAGAAAGUGAGAGCUUCAGCAAGAUGAAUAUCUCAUGAGUGUUUAUUACACUGAGUCAUAAUUUAGUUAUAGUUUCCCAGAAAAGUUUGAUGAUGAACUAAGUAGCUUUGCCGAUAUUGAGAGAAGUAACCUGGGGUAAUCAUGUGGAAAGUGGUUGUGAAAAAUAUCUUGUACUUCAUGCAUGACUUGUUGCCAGCAGCUUAUAGUCAAGGUCACUGGACAGAAGAUGCCAUUAACCGGGCUGUAUCUUGGGGUGAAUAUUGUGAGAAAGCUGUAAGACACUGCUCUCAGGAUGGGAGCAUUCACAUUGCCCUUCAAAACAUGGCAGAAAAAUAUGAUUGGGUUCUUUCUCUGCAUCAGUUACAGAGUGCACGUCUAUAUUUCUUUAGUUUCAUUUUGCAAAAUCAGUUGAUUGAAAAAAGAUUGGCAGACUACGUAAAUGAAAAAGUUAUUGAAGCAUUUGGUGCUGACCAUAACCUUAAUGUGUUGGCUAAACAGCAAUUAGAGUACCAUAAGAAAGUAAUGGAUCACCUAAGUAAAUAUGAUGAAAAGGUGCACUCAAGAUAUCAGGUGGAAAUUGAACAGUUAGCUGGGGUGAGACCAAUUGGGAUUGAUGGAAAUAGAAGGCAAAAUCAGUAAAAUUGGAAACCCAAGGGUCAUGGCAAAAAACCUGAAAUUGUGUUAACUUUGUCACACAAGGUUCACUGUAGGAGGUAACCUCCUGCAAGGACAGCUGAUAUGGGAUAUAAGCAAUUUAACUUUGUACUUUAUAUUUGCCUUUUGGAAAACCAAGAGUUCUUUGAUUUAAUUACGAACUUAACACAGAUUAACUUAUGUUGACUUUCGUGUUGGUUAGUCGAGGAUGUUAAUAAACUCAGUUAGUGGUAUAUGCUGUAAUGUACUUUUGAGUCAUAACUAACAAAGUUAUUGAUAUGAAUGCUGUAUAGGAAUGAUACUGUAAAGCACUCCAAAUAAACUUUUGAGUAACAUUUCUAGAUACCAGACGAGAAUACUACCUAUCCAGAUUCUAAUGAGGUUGGCCCAAAAUAUUUAUUUUAAAUGGUUUUGAUAAUUAGGGCAUGUUCAUGUUAAAGAAGCUGGAGAACUUUAGAAAAAUUACAGUAUGUACUGUACUGUAAAAGCAAGGUAGUAGAGAACAACAUGAAUAGAUUUAAAAGUAAAUAGAAGAAAGUAAUGAAGUUGGAAGCAGAAAGUAUGCCAUAAGGCACUCUUUAGAUGCUACCCUCAUGCAGGGUAAAUGAAUGGCAAAAUUUAGAAUGGGUAAAAGUUGAAUUAUCUGGUAACUGAAUAUGAAAGAAAUCAAUUAAGUGUGAAAAACAGCAAGCAGAUCAGGUAUAUAUGUACUUAGUAUAUCUUUGUUGGGACAAGCUCAUUUUAAUAUCUGUUGGAAAAGUCUUUGCUCAACCUUGAACCAAGUGUUUAGACCUAAAGGUAUGGAUCUUUCUUUGUCGAUAGAGUCAUCCGUGUACACAUUGAGCUCUCAGCAGUCUUGCUCUCCUCAGGGACUUAGUCGUCUGAGUGAUAUGUUACUCAUUCUCUGCAGUCUAACGCAGGUGCCUCGGACCAGUAGUUCAUACUCAAAAUUGUCUUCCUACUUGUGUAUCUGGGUUUAUCCUCAGUAAUCCCACCCUUUGCAGGUUGGAUUUCUCAUUUGUUCCUGAAUUUAUGGCAAGAACUUGGGACCUGUUGGUCUCUCUUGAUAUGAGAAUUUCUCAGUCCCCUCCCUCAGGGACUUCAUUGAUGGUGAGCUGGACAAAAUACUCUUGUGCCUAGUAUGAGCCUUAAGGUACUACAGUGCAUCCUCGACUUAUGGUGAUUUGAUCUUAUGAUGCAUUUUUAGUGCUUUAACGUCUUUUUACUGUGUCAUAACUUCAUGUUGCAUCAAUUUACUGUGCCGUAAGCACUGAUGACAGUGCUAACGGCCAGAAUAGGCAUAAAUUUAGUAAUGCCAAAAAUGUCAUGGCACUGUAAGCGCCAGUAAUGGUGAAAAACGGCUUAUGUUGGAAAUCAACUUGAAGGUGUGGGGCUGGAACAGAGCCCCCGCUAAAAGUCAAGGAUGCACUGUACAGUAGUACCUCGAGAUACGAAAGGCUCUACUUACGAAAAACUCAAGAUACGAAAGCCAAUGCGAAAAAUUUUACUGCUCUACAUACGAAAAGUUUUCAAGAUACGAAAGGUUGUUGCUGUAAAGUCACGAGAUUCGCCCUGACCACCGAGAACAAUUUUAAAACUCCCACGCCGCCAACUGAGUAAACUCGCCACCAUCCUUCCGCUCUCCCAUUGGUUCCUGAUGCUAGUCACCCCAUAAGGUCCUGCUCUCCUAUUGGUCAGCAUCUACCCCUUGUGCUUUAAGUAUUCUAUUGGUAAAAGGAUGCUGUAAAUUGAAAAAAUUAUUCAUGCAAUACAUUUAAUAAAAAAAAAUAUUAGGUAAAGAUAGAAUAAAGAAUAGAAAUGAAUGGUUAUUAUACUAUUUGGUAGUUUCAGUAGUUGAAGAGAGAUAAUGAAAAUUUAAGACUUACUGUGUAAAGUGAUUGCUUGUCGAUCGUUCGAUACUCGUAAGUGCUGGAUGUAAACAGACGUUUGGAAGCUUUUUUCUUGUUUGUUUAUUAUAGUUAAUGGUUACUUAAUAAUUAUUUGAAAUGAGUACAUGCAAUACAUUUAAUAAAAAAAUUGUGAAUUAGAUAUAAAAUAUAAAAUAAAUCAGACUGCCAACAAAUAUAUUACAUAUUUUUUAGAAUUCUUCUUCUGUUUUUUUAUUACGUUACGUAUACAUAUGUUUCAUUAUAGCUGUCAGUAACUCGGUAUCUCCAUUAGGUAAAGAUAGAAUAAAGAAUAGAAAUGAAUGGUUAUUAUACUGUUUGGUAGUUUCAUUAGUUGAAGAGAGAUACUAAUGACAAUUUAUGGCUUACUGUGUGCUAGGAAAAAGAAUUGCUUGGCGCUCGUUCGAUACUCGUAAGACGGGUAAGAGCUGAAUGUAAACAAUUGAUUGGAAGGUUUGUUUUUUGUUUGUUUGUGUAUUAUUAGUUAAUGAUUGAUUAAUAAUUAUUUGAAAUGAGUACAUACUGAUUAUUUAUACAUUUUAUUGGCAUAUUCUAAGCUUUUAGCUCUUAGGUUUAGAUGUCAGAAUCAUAGACUAGGCUACAGUAGCAACCGCUAACAUAGGCUAGGCUUAUUGCUAAGGGACAUAUGCUAAAGUCCUAAUAUAUGCAGUUAAAAUGGGGUUGAACAUUACAUGCAGUUGAAUAUUACUCAAGUAUGUACAGUAUUUUGCCUUUUUGGAAUCAUAUUUCUUCCGUUGGAUUGGCGUUGUAACCCUAGAACAUGUGUUUUAGGCCUGGAAAUAUAAUUUAAAGGGUGUUUUUGGAUGGCUUGGAACGGUUUAGCCAUUUUACAUGUAAAAUGUGUUCCAAGAUACGAAAAACUCAUAAUACGAAGGCCGCCUCGGAACGGAUUAAUUUCGUAUCUCGAGGUACCACUGUAUCUUAAAAGGACACCUCUUCUUAGGCUAGUGUCCACAAAUUUUGCAUGUACAGGUAAUCAUAUGAGGAUGUCUAGAAACACCCUUUUUUUCUGGCUUGUGAGGUGACCAAAUGAGCUUAUGGCUUUUUGGGAGGACAUCAGUCAUGUAGUCCAGGAAGGAUCUCACAAAGUCAGAUGUUGGACCGUCUACAGUUUAUAUCCACAUACCUUACUCCAUUAAAGUGUGGACAGACUUGCUUUUGUAACUUUUAUUGCAUAGAAAUGAUUUUGCUCUUGUGUUAUUUAUAAAUAUACCAGUAACUCCUAAUAGAAGAGUCACAGUAUUUUGCAAGAACAAUUCGGGUACGGUAUUAGAACUUGUACAGUAUUUUUUUUUUUUUUUUUAUUUAUUAUUAAUUUCUUUGUUAGUUUACUAACCAUUAUGUUCAAAGUAUGACAUUAACCGAAUACCCUUCAGGACCCAGUAUGUGCACCAUAUAUGAAGUUUAUUUUUUUGGUAUUGUGUCUGUUGGUGAAAUGGAGAGUUCGUAUUCUUGUGCUUUUCUUUGUAAUUUUGUUAUAGUUAGCUUCCAAAUAUAUAACAAAAUAUACUCUUGUGAUUGUUUGUGCCUUGACAGUUUUGAUGAAACGGUAAGACCUUAAAUACUGGAGGUGUGCUUAAGAUUUUCUGUGAUUUUUAAGAGCUAACGUACCUGUUCAGGAGUUGUAGAGUAUCUUGGUGAGAAUUGACCAUGAGGGAAUUGUGCAAAUAUUACUCUUUGUUAUUUUUUUUUUGCCUUUUCUGAAUCUUGUUUUUUUAUGAAUAGAGUAAGUCUAAUUUGAUUAUCUUCGAUGAGGAUGCUAUAUUGCUCAUAUUUGCAUCUGAAAGUUAUUUACAAUGACUGCUUUAAUGUUACAUGCAGAAAUAAGGGAAGAAAGAAAAGUUAUGUGAUAAAGGUUUAAUAUUUUUGAUCAGUUGUUUUAAAUCAUAUAAGUAAAUUGGUGUUGCAACAAGGAUGAAGAAAACAAAAAUUGAAUAAAAUGGGAGAGAUAGCUAAGUUACUGAAUAAAUAUUCAGGAAUUUAUAGCAUUUAUGAUACAUCAUUAAUUCAGCACUAUUGGGGAGUCAUAAAAGAACAAAAAUUGACACAUCUUUUUCCUUAUAUUUAAGGACAUGAAAUUGGAAGAGUUCAUUUAUAAUUUAAUGUAAAAUUAGUGGCAAUAUAUCCAGUCCCUUCAAAUAGUAUUUUCACUGUUUUAGUUUUGUUUUUAUUGGUAAAUUUGUUAAACUAUAUCACUGUAUUUUAUAUCUUAUUUUCAGUACUAGAUUUUUAAUGUUUUGUGUGUGUGUGCAACAUUGACUGUAAUACUGUAUGCAGCAGAAAUGUGAGCAUUGAAAAGGAAGAUGAAGAUUGUGGAAAAGGUUGAUCAUAGUGUCAGGAUUCAUAGGAAGUGAGAAAAUUGUAUUACAAGUGAAGAGCUAAUGGGGAGAUGUGUCCCAGAGGCUAGAAAAGACUCAAAUCUCAAAGACUGAGAUGGUUUAGACAUGUUGAGGUAAUGAAAUAAAAAGUUUUAUGAUGAUGUGAUUUCAUGGGAGUGGUAUAGUCACUACAGUUUUCAACAAACUAACACAUUCAUUUUAAUGGCAUAGAAAACAUUUUAGAAGUACCUGAAUAUAUUGAAUGAAUUAUAAUUGCAGAAAAA